AGUGAACGCUGGCGGCGUGCUUAAUACAUGCAAGUCGAACGAUGAAGUCCUAGCUUGCUAGGAUGGAUUAGUGGCGCACGGGUGAGUAAUAUAUAGUUAAUCUGCCUUGCACUGAGGAACAACAGUUGGAAACGAUUGCUAAUACCUCAUACUCCAACUUUACAUAAGUUAAGUUGGGAAAGUCUUUUCGGUGCAAGAUGAGACUAUAUCGUAUCAGCUAGUUGGUAAGGUAAUGGCUUACCAAGGCUAUGACGCGUAACUGGUCUGAGAGGAUGAUCAGUCACAUUGGAACUGAGACACGGUCCAAACUCCUACGGGAGGCAGCAGGAAGGAAUAUUGUGCAAUGGGGGAAACCCUGACGCAGCAACGCCGCGUGGAGGAUGACACUUUUCGGAGCGUAAACUCCUUUUGUUAGGGAAGAAUAAUGACGGUACCUAACGAAUAAGCACCGGCUAACUCCGUG
rnacentral:rRNA from 1 species